AGAGUUUGAUCCUGGCUCAGAUUGAACGCUGGCGGCAUGCCUUACACAUGCAAGUCGAACGGUAACAGGGAGCUUGCUCCGCUGACGAGUGGCGAACGGGUGAGUAAUAUAUCGGAACGUGCCUGAUAGUGGGGGACAACUAGUCGAAAGAUUAGCUAAUACCGCAUACGCCCUACGGGGGAAAGGGGGGGACUCGCAAGAGCCUCUCGCUAUCAGAGCGGCCGAUAUCUGAUUAGCUAGUUGGUGAGGUAAAGGCUCACCAAGGCUUCGAUCAGUAGCUGGUCUGAGAGGACGACCAGCCACACUGGGACUGAGACACGGCCCAGACUCCUACGGGAGGCAGCAGUGGGGAAUUUUGGACAAUGGGCGCAAGCCUGAUCCAGCAAUGCCGCGUGAGUGAAGAAGGCCUUCGGGUUGUAAAGCUCUUUUGUCAGGGAAGAAACGGUUCUGGAUAAUACCUGGGGCUAAUGACGGUACCUGAAAGAAUAAGCACCGGCUAACUACGUGCCAGCAGCCGCGGUAAUACGUAGGGGUGCAAGCGUUAAUCGGAAUUACUGGGCGUAAAGCGUGCGCAGGCGGUUGUGUAAGACAGGUGUGAAAUCCCCGGGCUUAACCUGGGAAUGGCAUUUGUGACUGCACGGCUAGAGUGUGUCAGAGGGGGGUAGAAUUCCACGUGUAGCAGUGAAAUGCGUAGAGAUGUGGAGGAAUACCGAUGGCGAAGGCAGCCCCCUGGGCCAAUACUGACGCUCAUGCACGAAAGCGUGGGGAGCAAACAGGAUUAGAUACCCUGGUAGUCCACGCCCUAAACGAUGUCAACUAGUUGUUGGGUCUUCAUUGACUUAGUAACGUAGCUAACGCGUGAAGUUGACCGCCUGGGGAGUACGGUCGCAAGAUUAAAACUCAAAGGAAUUGACGGGGACCCGCACAAGCGGUGGAUGAUGUGGAUUAAUUCGAUGCAACGCGAAAAACCUUACCUACCCUUGACAUGGUCGGAACCCUGCUGAAAGGUGGGGGUGCUCGAAAGAGAACCGAUACACAGGUGCUGCAUGGCUGUCGUCAGCUCGUG
rnacentral:rRNA from 1 species